rnacentral:rRNA from 1 species
ACUCCUACGGGAGGCAGCAGUGGGGAAUAUUGCACAAUGGGGAAACCCUGAUGCAGCCAUGCCGCGUGUGUGAAGAAGGCCUUCGGUUGUAAAGCACUUUCAGUAGGGAGGAAGGUAGUGUAGUUAACACCUGCAUUAUUUGACGUUACCUACAGAAGAAGCACCGGCUAACUCCGUGCCAGCAGCCGCGGUAAUACGGAGGGGUGCGAGCGUUAAUCGGAAUUACUGGGCGUAAAGCGCAUGCAGGCGGCCUGUUAAGUCAGAUGUGAAAGCCCGGGGGCUUAACCUCGGAAUUGCAUUUGAAACUGGCAGGCUAGAGUCUUGUAGAGGGGGUAGAAUUUCAGGUGUAGCGGUGAAAUGCGUAGAGAUCUGAAGGAAUACCAGUGGCGAAGGCGGCCCCCUGGACAAAGACUGACGCUCAGAUGCGAAAGCGUGGGGAGCAAACAGGAUUAGAUACCCUGGUAGGAUAGCG